rnacentral:rRNA from 2 species
UACGGAGGGUGCAAGCGUUAUCCGGAUUUACUGGGUUUAAAGGGUGCGUAGGCGGAUAGGUAAGUCAGUGGUGAAAUCUCCGAGCUUAACUCGGAAACUGCCGUUGAUACUAUUUAUCUUGAAUACCGUGGAGGUGAGCGGAAUAUGUCAUGUAGCGGUGAAAUGCUUAGAUAUGACAUAGAACACCGAUUGCGAAGGCAGCUCACUACGCGGUCAUUGACGCUGAGGCACGAAAGCGUGGGGAUCAAACAGG